UACAGAGGUCCCAAGCGUUGUUCGGAUUCACUGGGCGUAAAGGGUGCGUAGGUGGUGAGGUAAGUCGGAUGUGAAAGCUCGGAGCUUAACUCCGAAAUGGCAUUGGAAACUACCUUGCUAGAGGGUUGGAGGGGGGACUGGAAUACUUGGUGUAGCAGUGAAAUGCGUAGAUAUCAAGUGGAACACCAGUGGCGAAGGCGAGUCCCUGGACAACUCCUGACACUGAGGCACGAAAGCUAGGGGAGCAAACAGG
rnacentral:rRNA from 1 species